AAUUUCUUUUUUUUCGAGACAGAGUCUCACUCUGUCACCCAGGCCAAAACAAGAGGAUCACUUGAGCUCUAGAGUUUGAGUCCAGCCUGGGCAACAUAGAGAGACCCUAUCUUUACAAAAAAUUUAAAGCUUAGUUGCAUGUGGUGGCAUAAGCCUGUAGUACCAGCUACUCAGGAAGCUGAGGUGGGAGGAUCACUUGUGCCAGAAAGGUCAAGGCUACAGUAAGCUGUGAUUGUGCCACUGCAUUCCAGCCUGGGCAACAGAGCAAGACAUAAAAAAAAAAAUUAUUUUUUAUACCAAGAAUUUAUUUACAUUGCCAAUUUUUCCUAGGUACAAAUGAUGCAAAAUGUGCACCUGGAUCCAGAGACAGAUGAAGAUGAUCUUUAUUCUGGCUAUAAUGACUACAGUCCAAUUUAUGAUAUUGAGGAAUUGGAGAAUGACGCAGCUUUUCAGCAAGCUGUGAGAACUAGUCAUGGCAGAAGACCUCCAUCUAAGACAUCCCUGGCAUCAUUCAUAGGAAGACCAGUGACAGGGGCUAUUCAGGAUGGAGUUACUAGACCCAUGACAGCAGUGAGAGCAGCUGGUUUUACCAAAGCAGCUUUGAGAGGCUCUGCAUUUGACCCACUUGGUCAGUCAGGGGCCCUGCUCCUCCUUUGGAAGUCAAGAAAAAGAAUAGCCCAGAAGAAAAAAUAAAGCAAUUAGAGAAGGAAGUAAAUGAGUUGGUAGAAGAAAGCUGUAUUGCUAAUAGUUGUGGAAACUUAAAAUUGGUAAGUUCAUAACUAAUAAGAUUCAAGAUUAUGAAG
rnacentral:lncRNA from 1 species